rnacentral:ncRNA from 2 species
UACAUUUGCCCCCGAGUUGGUGAUUCGAUGCUCAACAGUCCAGACUGUCGAACUGAAAAGGGAACCCGGUGAAAGUCCGGGACUGCGUCCUCAGCUGUAAGUUCUUUAGAAAGCGACCCCGCUCUGCAAGCGUCACUUUUUCGUACCACACGAAAAGGGAAGGCCCCGCGGGAUCGGGAACAAGUCAGAAGACCUGCCGACUCCGAUUUCAUUUC